rnacentral:precursor_RNA from 1 species
ACAAGAAGAAGACAACAUCUAAUGCAGGAACAAAUCAAAAGGGGUUGGUUAGUGGUACAGUGGAACAGCUAAUCACCCUGUAAUUAGGUGCUUGUUCUGGCCCUAAAAGUGGCCUCCAGGACAUGGGCUUGCCCAGGGAGGGAAUCUUUUGGGGCUUCUUUUAAAGUGGGGGGUAUGUGUGUAGCUUGCUUGAUGUGUUGAUUGGGAAAUCAUGAGUGUCCCUCAGAGAAGUUCAAAGAGAGGUGUUGUGUGUGUGUGUGGGUGGAGAGUGAGAGGAAGGGAAGCAUGGUGUCUGGAAUGGAGGCUGAUCCAAGAUCCUUGCUUGGUGCAAAAUACUAGGGCAUUGUUGUAAGUGCCAUUAGUUCUUUUUUGUUUCCGAGUUUGUUAUCGAGGAUCUCGGACCAGGCUUCAUUCCUCACACCGUGCUUCCCGUUGCGAGAAAUGCGAAUAUUGUGUCUGUAGGAACUGCUUCUGUGUGAGGUAGAAUGGUUUGUACGCGAAUCGAAGUUUUUCGAUGAGCGGUUGUAUGUUUUUCUGCUUAAGGCUAUGUUUUGUGCAUCCUGGAAUGUAUUUUGUUUCCAAGUUCUUGUUAGCAUGCAGGUAUCUACUAAUGUUAUAAACAUGGAUAUCUGUGUUAACUUUUUGAAAAAGUAAAAUGCUAGCCAGGCUUUGAUAUUUUUUUUGACAGAUUUUUUCCUGCACUUUUACAUAUAUACUUGGUCUUCAGUCUUCACUCCAGGUCCAGCACAUUGCAU